GACGAACGCUGGCGGCGUGCUUAACACAUGCAAGUCGAGCGAGGCCCCUCCUUCGGGAGGGUGUCCUAGCGGCGAACGGGUGAGUAACACGUGGGCAACCUGCCCUCAGCUCUGGGAUAACUCCGGGAAACCGGGGCUAAUACCGGAUACGACCUCCACGGGCAUCUGCGGAGGUGGAAAGUUUUUCGGCUGAGGAUGGGCCCGCGGCCUAUCAGCUAGUUGGUGGGGUAGUGGCCCACCAAGGCGACGACGGGUAGCUGGCCUGAGAGGGCGACCGGCCACACUGGGACUGAGACACGGCCCAGACUCCUACGGGAGGCAGCAGUGGGGAAUAUUGCGCAAUGGGCGAAAGCCUGACGCAGCGACGCCGCGUGAGGGACGAAGGCCUUCGGGUUGUAAACCUCUUUCAGCAGGGACGAAGCGAAAGUGACGGUACCUGCAGAAGAAGCACCGGCCAACUACGUG
rnacentral:rRNA from 1 species